rnacentral:tRNA from 1 species
CAUAAGAUAACUUAAAGUAAGUAAUGGUCUCUUAAACCAACCAAUAGUAAAUUAACACAUACUUCUUAUGA